rnacentral:rRNA from 1 species
GACGAACGCUGGCGGCGUGCUUAACACAUGCAAGUCGACCGCAGUGGCGAACGGGUGAGUAACGCGUAAUCAACCUGCCCUUCAGAGGGGGACAACAGUUGGAAACGACUGCUAAUACCGCAUACUGAAGGAGUGGAUUGCGUCUGCUUAGCUAGUUGGAGGGGUAACGGCCCACCCAGGCGAUGAUCAGUAGCCGGUCGGAGAGGUUGAACGGCGACAGUUGGACUGAGGGACGGCCCAGACUCCUACGGGAGGCAGCAGUGGGGAAUCUUCCGCAAUGGACGAAAGUCUGACGGAGCAACGCCGGGUGAGUGAUGACGGCCUUCGGGUGGUAAAGCUCUGUUAAUCGGGACGCGGUACCGGAAUAGAAAGCCACGGCUAACUACGUGCCAGCAGCCGCGGUAAUUC